GAGGGACUUGGAGGGAGGCAGUGGUCUAGUGGUUAACAUUACAUAAGAAACUAGUCCAGUCUAUCUCACUAAAAAUUACUUGUUUUAAAAAGGGCUAUUGCAUAAUUUAGUAAGGAAGCAUACAGACACCUUUUAACCAUUGUGCUCAUUAGAGAUGUGAUCAAAUAAAGAUGCAGAUUAAUUUUGCUACUAUUACAAAAAAUGUAAAAUUGGAUAAGUGGUAUUUUAGAUCUAGAUGUCGUUGGGUAAGAAUUAGGUGUUGGUAUCGUAGUAAAGUCUAUUAAUGACGGAUUUACAGUAUGUGGAAUAACUUGUGCUCUCAAGAUGCACGUAAAAAUGUAAGUGUGAUGUACAGGCAGGCGUCUCCAUGUAUCCCUACAAUGAGAUCCUCCCAGUAUCUUCUGCUAAAUCACGUUGAAGCCACGUUUCAUCACAGUUGGAUAAGCGGUUCUCCAGACGUGUGGGGGGGAAAUAUGAAGCGUGACACACGCAAGUGCGACCACCUCCAUUAUACGAACCGCACCCGCAAUGAUGCUGCAGCUCAGGUACUCUGCUGAGGUAGGUUCCUGAUUUGUGAUGUUACCGUUUUGAACUGAUUUUGCAGUUGAAUGGAGUUACCUUGGAUAUGGUGUGUGUGCGUUUUUUUUUGUUUUUUUUCUGAUAUGGAGAAUACAGCACAGCAAAAAAAAUUAAAUGGUAUGGUUGACAUUAAUGGUUGAAAGAUCCUCAGCAUUAUAUAAUAAAGAAUGUUGAAUGAUGAAAUUAUGCUUUAGACAUUGAUUCACUGGAUACGGGUUUACACUUCUAUGAGCCUGCAUUUUGUGUUGAGUUCUACUGGUGGUUAACAAUAUGCUUUAUUUUUACAGCUGGUUUCAAAGACCCCGGUUAUUCCUACUCUUGGACUUUAUUUCAUUGUAUUUGGAUCAAGAUAACACUGCAUCUCUGUCUCCACCUCUCCCAGCUCAGUGACAGCACAGCCUGUUCUCUCUGUCACUCCAGGAUUUUUUUUUUUGUACUGGCCUGUUUCAAUGGCCAGGCUGUGGUCACAGUCUGUACUUGGUUAGAGUUUGUCUUUGAGUCUUUUACCCUGACAAGGUAUUCUGCCAGGGUAAAGUUUCUCAAAUGUUGGUCAAAUAUACAUAUACACACACAUACAUACAUUUAUUUUUGUUUUACUUCUUUAGUUAUAUCUGUGGUGUAUAGACGGUAUACUUUUAUUCAAUUUAAGAUUUUAGAGCAGAUGAUGUCUAACCUUAACCCUCUUUGUAAAUAUAUUUAGGAAUUUCUUUAUCCACAAAACUGAUUUAUAUCCACUUAAUGAAGUUCAAUUAAUUUUGUUGAAGGGGGGAAAAAAAGGUUUUAAAAAUAUGAUUUUCCAAAGAGAUCCCGUUUUAAGGAUACCGGUAUUUUGUUGUUUUUAAAAAAUAAAUAAAUAAAUAAAGCAAGCAAGCUGAGCGAACACAACGAGAGCCGUAGUUGUGCGUAUGGUACAGCUGUAUUCUUUUACUAUAUUUUUGUAAAAGUUUAGAAUUUAUUUUCCGCAGUUAUUGUCUUAUAGUAAUAUAAUAACGGUAAAGGAUGAGAAAUUUGGUAUAAUUUUGUGUUUUUGAGUGCGAGUUAAUUGUACCUGCGGUUUAUGUCCAUUUACUUCAAAUAGUUAGAAAUUAGAAAGGCCAAGAGAGAUCAUGCAACAGUCUCUUGACACGGGUUGUACCGACAGACUGGAGAAUUGCAAACGUAAUACCGAUCCACAAAAAGGGAGACAAAACCAAACCAGGGUAACACAGACCAAUAAGCCUGACUUCUAUUAAAUGUAAACUUAUGAAAACUAUAAUAAAAUCCAAAAUGGAAAAUUAAUUAUAUGGUAACAGUAUCCUGGGAGACCGUCGGCAUGGUUUUAGGAAAGGGAGAUCUUGUCUAACUAAUCUGCUUAAUUUUUUUUUUAAGAUACAACAUCGAUAAUGGAUAACUGCACAGCAUAUGAUGUGGUUUAUUUUGAUUUCCAGAAAGCUUUUGACCAAAGUCCUGCAUAAAAGAUUAAUUCUCAAACUCAACGCAGUAGGGAUUCAAGGAAAUGAAUGCACAUGGAUUAGGGAGUGGUUAACAUGUAGAAAACAAAGUACUGAUUUAAAGGAGAAACCUCAAAAUGGAGCGAGGUAACCAUUUGUGUACCACAGGGAUCCGUAUUCGGUCCUCUGCUAUUCCUAAUUGACAUUAAUGACUUCAAUUCUGGUAUAGUAAGCAAACUUAUUAAAUUUGCAGAUGACACAACAAUAGGAGGAGUGGCAAACACCAUUGCAGCAGCAAAGAUCAUUCAAAAUGAUCUACAGCAUUCAGAACUGGGCAGACACAUGGCAAAUGACACUUAAUAGAGAAAAGUGUAAGGUACUGCAUGCAGGCAAUAAAAAUGUGCAUUAUAAAUAUCAUACGGGAGAUACUGAAAUUGAAGAAGGAAUCUGAAAAAGACCUAGAAGUUUAUGUUGACUCCGUAAUGUCUUCAUCUAGACAAUGUAUGUAGCUAUAAAAAAGGCUAACAAGAUGCUCGGAUAUAUUGUGAAACGUGUUGAAUUUAAAUCAAGGGAAGUAAUGUUAAAACUUUACAAUGCAUUAGUAAGACCUCAUCUAGAAUAUUGUGUUCAGUUCUGGUCACCUUGCUACAAAAAAUGAUAUUGCUGCUCUAGAAAGAGUGCAAAGAAGAGUGAUCAGAAUUAUCCUGGGUUUAAAAGACAUGUCAUAUGCAGGCAGGCUAAAACAGUUGAAUCUAUUCAAUCUUGAACAAAGAAGACUACGCAGUGAUCUGAUUCGCGUAUUCAAAAUUCUAAAAGGUAUUGACAAUAUCGACCCAAGGGACUUUUUCGACCUGAAAAAAGAAACGAGGACCAGGGGUCACCAAUGGAGAUUAGAUAAAGGGGCAUUCAGGACAGAAAAUUGGAGGCACUUUUUUACACAUAGAAUUGUGAGAGUCUGGAACCAACUCCCCAGUAAUGUUGAAGCUGACACCCUGGGAUCCUUCAAGAAGCUGCUUGAUGAGAUUCUGCUUGAUGGGCCGAAUGGCCUCCUCGUUUGUAAACUUUCUUAUGUUCUUAAAUUCAGGCAUACACUUUCAUUUCUGAUGCACGAUUCCAGAUCUUCCUGAACAGUUCUAUCUGCCCACAGGGAAACUAAAGCCUGCACUUCCUUAACGUCCCAAGGCUGUUCUUUUCUCUCGUCAUACUCUCUGCCUGCCAUGUUGUUUGUCUUUCUGAAGUGUACUGACUACUACAAUGUAAUGACGAAAAUCCGUGGUGGCUGGAUUCCCUGCCCAGGACAUUGCUGUAGCAUAGCUGUCCUGCUAGAGUUGUGUGGGCCCCUGGCACAAUUUGUGCUGUCUGGCAGAGCUGCUCUGGAUGGUGUUUCUGUGGGUGGGGGCUUUAUAUGGCCUUGUUGGUUGGGUGCUCCUCCGUAUUCAGGGGCGGCUGGGGGAGCUUCUGGUAUUGGGAUGGGGGCUGGGUCUCGGUCCAGGGUGGUGUCUUUUGAGGGUUUUGGUGAAGACCAUCAUACCCUCCUAGUUGAGGUGCACCUGGUCGUACAGGUGCUGGAGCUGGAUGGUGUGGUGGUGUGCCAGGUGAACGUUGGGCAGCAGGGCGCAGCCCCGGGAUACCUCUGUGUUGAUGAGCUGGAUGGUGCGCUGGGCCACGUCUGCUCUGAGUAGCAGGGUGGAUGUGACGAUCUUCGAGGAGGGGAAUUCUCCUGUUUGCUUUUUUCUGGGAUUUGGCCACAUCCCCUCUCUGGGAGCUGAGGUCGUUGGGUCCUGUGUGUAUGCCUUAUUCUCAGGAUAUCUGUUACACUUGCACUUUCUGGGUCACCACAACAGUGUCUUCUGGGUCAUGUUAGUGGCUCCUCAGUUUGUGCUCAGAAAGCAGGUGCAGGGCCUGAUAUUGCUGAUUCUUUUGCCUGGAAACAGCCUGCCUAUCUGGCAUAUGUGUUUCAAACUCUCCUGUGUUUUUUUCUUUCUUUAGCUUUUAAUUGCCUUUUAUUUAAUUGUUGCUCAUUUCAGAGGUUCUGUUUGUACGGAUUUGUGUUGAAACUUAAAUUGUACCUUAUGACUGUAAAUACGAAAAUCCUAAUGGUUUAGCUCAUUUUCUCUCUCUCUCUCUCUCUCUCAAUAAAAUAUUUACAUGCACAAAGUACAACAUAAAUACAAAAGUAUUUAGGUCGUUUUGGACAUGAGUCCUUCAGCUAAAAUGCCAUAAUCCAAUGAGGGGCUUGUUUUUAAGAAAUAAUUUCAAAUAAGGCCAAGUGGGGCUAAGAAACAAACAGAUUUUCUUCCAAUUAAGGUCAGGGUAGCUUGUAAUGUACAGCACUGUAGGAUGACAUAUGCACUAGUCACGUGCGUCUCGUUAUGUAAACACUGUACUACAUUAGAAUGGUGUUUUGUUUUGAAAAAAUAAGAAAACCUACAACUGCAAGACCGCCUAGCGGUUGUAGUUUGGCAAAUCCAAAGAUAGCUAGUAAAAGUGCAGCGAGUUUGAGGGAGAUGACCAUUACCAGGGGUCACCAAUGGAGAUUAGAUAAAGGGGCAUUCAGGACAGAAAAUUGGAGGCACUUUUUUACACAUAGAAUUGUGAGAGUCUGGAACCAACUCCCCAGUAAUGUUGAAGCUGACACCCUGGGAUCCUUCAAGAAGCUGCUUGAUGAGAUUCUGCUUGAUGGGCCGAAUGGCCUCCUCGUUUGUAAACUUUCUUAUGUUCUUAAAUUCAGGCAUACACUUUCAUUUCUGAUGCACGAUUCCAGAUCUUCCUGAACAGUUCUAUCUGCCCACAGGGAAACUAAAGCCUGCACUUCCUUAACGUCCCAAGGCUGUUCUUUUCUCUCGUCAUACUCUCUGCCUGCCAUGUUGUUUGUCUUUCUGAAGUGUACUGACUACUACAAUGUAAUGACGAAAAUCCGUGGUGGCUGGAUUCCCUGCCCAGGACAUUGCUGUAGCAUAGCUGUCCUGCUAGAGUUGUGUGGGCCCCUGGCACAAUUUGUGCUGUCUGGCAGAGCUGCUCUGGAUGGUGUUUCUGUGGGUGGGGGCUUUAUAUGGCCUUGUUGGUUGGGUGCUCCUCCGUAUUCAGGGGCGGCUGGGGGAGCUUCUGGUAUUGGGAUGGGGGCUGGGUCUCGGUCCAGGGUGGUGUCUUUUGAGGGUUUUGGUGAAGACCAUCAUACCCUCCUAGUUGAGGUGCACCUGGUCGUACAGGUGCUGGAGCUGGAUGGUGUGGUGGUGUGCCAGGUGAACGUUGGGCAGCAGGGCGCAGCCCCGGGAUACCUCUGUGUUGAUGAGCUGGAUGGUGCGCUGGGCCACGUCUGCUCUGAGUAGCAGGGUGGAUGUGACGAUCUUCGAGGAGGGGAAUUCUCCUGUUUGCUUUUUUCUGGGAUUUGGCCACAUCCCCUCUCUGGGAGCUGAGGUCGUUGGGUCCUGUGUGUAUGCCUUAUUCUCAGGAUAUCUGUUACACUUGCACUUUCUGGGUCACCACAACAGUGUCUUCUGGGUCAUGUUAGUGGCUCCUCAGUUUGUGCUCAGAAAGCAGGUGCAGGGCCUGAUAUUGCUGAUUCUUUUGCCUGGAAACAGCCUGCCUAUCUGGCAUAUGUGUUUCAAACUCUCCUGUGUUUUUUUCUUUCUUUAGCUUUUAAUUGCCUUUUAUUUAAUUGUUGCUCAUUUCAGAGGUUCUGUUUGUACGGAUUUGUGUUGAAACUUAAAUUGUACCUUAUGACUGUAAAUACGAAAAUCCUAAUGGUUUAGCUCAUUUUCUCUCUCUCUCUCUCUCUCUCAAUAAAAUAUUUACAUGCACAAAGUACAACAUAAAUACAAAAGUAUUUAGGUCGUUUUGGACAUGAGUCCUUCAGCUAAAAUGCCAUAAUCCAAUGAGGGGCUUGUUUUUAAGAAAUAAUUUCAAAUAAGGCCAAGUGGGGCUAAGAAACAAACAGAUUUUCUUCCAAUUAAGGUCAGGGUAGCUUGUAAUGUACAGCACUGUAGGAUGACAUAUGCACUAGUCACGUGCGUCUCGUUAUGUAAACACUGUACUACAUUAGAAUGGUGUUUUGUUUUGAAAAAAUAAGAAAACCUACAACUGCAAGACCGCCUAGCGGUUGUAGUUUGGCAAAUCCAAAGAUAGCUAGUAAAAGUGCAGCGAGUUUGAGGGAGAUGACCAUUACCAGUUCACCGUGCCUUACGCGUACUUGAAGAGCGGCCAACACCGGGACGAGGCCGUGUUCGAGUUAUUCUUCCGUGAAAAUCCCUUCGGAGGCGAGUUUUCGCUCUUUUCAGGACUCGCAGAUUGCUUGCUGUUCCUGAAAAACUUCAGGUAUACAGAGCAAGGUAAGGGUAAGCCAAGGGACCGUCUCAAAACUCUCGUGCUGUCGCCACAAUAAUAACAUAAUUCUUAAUUCUCUCUAGCUAGCUUAAAGAAAUCUGUAUGCAAACCUUGCUUUCAGAUAGCUUUGCACUUCCUUGGUCACCCCUGCCAUUAACCAACCAGCUGCUGCUUCCCCUAAUGAUUGACAUGCUGAGGUGAUCCAGGAAGUGCAGGUGUAACAGAUCUCCUGAAGAUAAGGCAUGUAAACUGAUGAAUGUCUUUCGCUUAAUUUAGUGUCAGAUAUCGUGUUUUAAAAUGACAAUACACGUUUGCUAUUUGGGAUUCUUUCAAAACUGCACAUUUGAGACCUGUGUAACUAAUGGAAAUGCAAAGCAGGAGAGAUUUAUGGAGCUGUUCUGUUGGCUACAAUUACUGGAAGGAGGUUGUAUAUUUAAUUGAAUAGCAGUUUAUAAUUCUUCACACAAACCUGAAUCUUAGCCCUUGAGCCAUAUCCAUAAAACGUCAUAAGUUUAUGUAUAAUUUAAAGUUUAGUACUCCAGCAAGUUAGGGGUCUCGCUUAAGUGACCUAGAUAAGCACCCCACUUAACAUUUUAUAACGUAAGUCCUUUUAUGAAUACAGCCCGAAAGACUGAAAAUAAUGAUCAGAUUGUUGCUGUGCUCUACCAGACCCUCUGCUGCCACCUGUCAACCAAGACGGGUACUGCAGCUCAGUUGUUGAGCACGUGAAUUUCUAAACCUGAAAGAAGAAUAUUUAAUAACUACGCUCUUGAAGGGCUUCAUUUAUUCUUAAGGUUUAGGCAUUUUAACAUAAUCUACCUUUAUAAAAGUUUCCCAUAGUAAAAGCACAGCAAACUGUAAUAAAGCACGCAUUGUACAACACAGAGGAGUCUGUUUAAAGCAAAAUGCAAAGCAUAACCGUUGGAAAAGCAACGAAAAACUGCAAAAUCCCCUUGCAAAUGUAACACCCCUGAAAUGGACCCCAUGUACUUUGGCUUGCAGUUUGAGUCAGGGGGACCCAUGACUUUUGUUAAGUUCAGGGUUUAUCUUCUUGGUUGAUAAUGCCAUGUGCACUUUCCUAAUCAUUUCUAAUAAUAUCUGUAUUACAAAAUGCAAAUGAAUUGAGCCACUUCUCUGUUAAUACUGAGAUGUUUUAGUCAGUUUGUUUAUUUAUUUAUUUAUUUAUUUAUUUAUUUAUUUAUUUAUUUAUACAUUCUUUCUUUAUUUUUAAACUAAGGCUGUUGAUUAAAAGUUAUCCCCGUUUGUGUUUAAACUGCCACACACAUUUCCAAUGCUUUAGUAUUUAGUCAUCUUUCUGUUUUACUUUUGCACUUACUUAAAGUUUGCCGUUGAUUUUUUUGCAUUGUGUAUUACCGUGGUUAUUCUUAAAGGGGAGUGGUUUAUUGCAGUAGAUAGCAGCAAAUCAGUGCUGGAGGAGUGCCUCCUCCCUGUCCUGUCAUUGUAAAGCCCUGACCCCAUGCAAAUUCCCUCUCCCCUCCCUGCUGUGACCCUCAGGAGUGGGGUGCUGAAUAUCUGUGCCAGCUGCACUACCAGCCGAUCGGGGUUAGACUGGACAGCGGGGACCUCUGUGGGCAGUCAGUCGAAUAUUCCUGUCCUGCAGCUCCAGGUUUCAGGCGGCCGAGCUGCAGUCUCUGCUGAUUGUCGGGAGCAACAACAUCUCUGAGAAAUCCUUGCUGAAGAUGAAUGGGAGAAUGAGAUUUACGUUGUUGGUGUUGGGACCCAUCUGGUGACCUGCCCAUUGCAGCCUAAGCUGGGCUGUGUUUACAUGGUACCCACACCCCUCUCCAACGGGCACAGCACUCCACGGGAACUAACAGAGAUGUGCAGCAGGGGCGAUGAGUUUAAAUGUUACCACGCUCCAGUUUAGUAUUCAUUAUUCAUGUGUAAAACCCAGAUUAUCCAAAAGGAGAUUUCUUGAUUUGGGAAAUAGAGGAAAAAAGGCAUUAGAGAAUAAUGAUCAUUUAGGUGCUAGUUUAUAGUUUAUUGGUGUUAAACUAAACAGAGUUUCCAUUAUCUAUUGUCUUAUGGACAAUAGAUAAUGGAGCAGGGCAUCUUUUCUAUCUCGCUCUCCCCCUCCCCUGUCCCAGCUUGUUCAUUUGAACGGUGCCCUCUGGAUGAAGCUCACUGAGGACUCUGAGAAGAGUACCCUGCCUGGGAGGAAGGCUGUCUACAGACUGUACAGCCAGGAUGGUCACGCUUUCCUAAAGCUCUGUCUGUCUGUCCAGAGAUGACAUCCAUUCACACAGGGACAGGUACGCCAUAGCUCUGUCUGUCUGUCUGUCCAGAGAGGAGGACAUCCAUUCACACAAGGACAGGUAGCUGUGUUAGAGAAACUCUUCCGCCUACUCAGGGACCUCAAGAACAGUUUGAAGAACUAGCUCUCGCAGUCUGAAACCAGUUGAUACACUGAUGUCACAAUACAUAUUCUGUUUGUGAUGACCCUGAUUGAAACCAGUUGAUACACUGAUGUCACAAUACAUAUUCUAUUUGUGAUGACCCUGAUUGGCUGUCAGUAUGAUGCAUAAUAAGAUCAAAUGAUAAUUUAAUGAUGGACCACUUUGUUAAAACAACAAAUUACAUGAGAUGGGGAGAGUAUGUAUUUACGCCAACUAUAAAACUCAGUUAUUCAUCAUUCAAGAA